GAAACUGUCUAGACAUGAAGCUAAAGAACCCUUAAAAAUUGUGAUAAAGAUGCUGAAAUGUGGGGGCUGGAGAGAUGGCUCAGCGGGUAAGAGCACUGACUGCUCUUCCAAAGGUCCUGAGUUCAAUUCCCAGCAACCACAUGGUGGCUCACAACCAUCUAUAAUGAGAUCUGGGGUCAUCUUCUGGCCUGCAGGCUCACAUGCAGACAGAAAGCUGUAUGAUGUAUACAUAAUAAAUGAAUAAAAAAAA
rnacentral:lncRNA from 1 species